GUUGGGUGAACUUGGCAUCCUCCCCAAGUCUACUGUAGAGAAUAAAGAUCAGUAUCACUAUUCACUGCGUAAUGGAGUUGCAAUAGUUACGCUGUGAAAGCUGUGUACGAAGAAAUAGUUGUAUUGACACAAGAACAAUAGUCCACCACAAAAAAUAGUGAGAAACAUGGUGAACAGUGUGUGGAUGGCGCGACACAAAGAUGUGAUUAUAUGGCAGUGAUAAAAGCGGUAGUGCGACGUCCAGACCAGAUGCGAGGAAACGCAGAGCAGCAAAUCAUUCAUGGAGCCCAAGGACAGCAUGGCCACAGCAACUGCCAGAACGUGUCAUCACGACACAGCGGGAUGACACCAUGGAGACAGAGCGUGCGCCUCCUCUCGUCCUACCGAUGGAGCUGGACCUGCCCAUAAUGCAGCAGCUGAUGCCUUCGACAUCUGGUUAUUGGCCUCCGGUGAUGGAUGCAUACAAUCCUGGUUUUUUUCUGGUGGAUGUAUCCACCACAGCGAAGGCCGGAUGGUGGGGUACGACCGGAAGCUUGACGUCUCCUGCAGCCACAGCUUCCGGUCCACUCCAGUGUCAGCUCUUCGACCUGGCCCGCCGUUGUCGUGCUCCCUACAUGACAGCUGUCCAUCACUUUGGGAGGAGGUGGGGGAUGUUCCGGCGUAACAUGAAGUGCCAGCACAUUGGACUGGAACGUUAUAGCAGCAGAGAGGGCUGUAAGCCAAUGUCAGCCAGUAGUACACUGACUAGGACGACACCACGACAGGAGCAACCCCAUAUGAAGAGAUUCUAAGAGCUGCUCCGCCUAGCCAUGGGCACUAGAAGAUGAGCCAUCGUCCAUACACUUUAGCCAUGAUUUGUAAACUGCUUGCAUGGAAAUUGUAUAUGUAAAUAUGCAAAGUUAAGUGUUGUCAAUUUAACUUGGUGUAAUAAACUCCAUUAAUAAGACUUACUUCAA